rnacentral:rRNA from 1 species
AUUGAACGCUGGCGGCAGGCCUAACACAUGCAAGUCGAGCGGAUGAGAGGAGCUUGCUUCUCGAUUCAGCGGCGGACGGGUGAGUAAUGCCUAGGAAUCUGCCUGGUAGUGGGGGACAACGUUUCGAAAGGAACGCUAAUACCGCAUACGUCCUACGGGAGCAAGCAGGGGACCUUCGGGCCUUGCGCUAUCAGAUGAGCCUAGGUCGGAUUAGCUAGUUGGUGAGGUAAUGGCUCACCAAGGCGACGAUCCGUAACUGGUCUGAGAGGAUGAUCAGGCACACUGGAACUGAGACACGGUCCAGACUCCUACGGGAGGCAGCAGUGGGGAAUAUUGGACAAUGGGCGAAAGCCUGAUCCAGCCAUGCCGCGUGUGUGAAGAAGGUCUUCGGAUUGUAAAGCACUUUAAGUUGGGAGGAAGGGUUGUAGAUUAAUACUCUGCAAUUUUGACGUUACCGACAGAAUAAGCACCGGCUAACUCUGUGCCAGCCGCCGCGGUAAAAC